CCCCCCAUUUUUUUUUAAAAUGGUGCCUUUUAAUUUUUUAUUCAAACCUUUAUAUUUUUUUAAGCUUACAAAUCCCUUUUCUAAACAAAACCCCAAGCUCCUCUCUGUUAGGUUUUCACCCAAACAUGACGCCGGACCACCACCAUAUCUGGUAGCCGACGGUGUGAAAAAAAAAAUGGCCUGAGAUCAUUACUAUAAAGGCCUGGUAAGUGAGCUCCCUUUCUUUUCUUUCUUUAUUUUCAUACACCAAUAUAUAAAAAAAACUGGAUGAAAACAAUUUGAAAUCCCAUUUGGCUUUAGAAAAUAAGAGGGAGGGUUCUAUCAAAUGAGAAAGCAAGAAAGCAAAGGGCAUCAACCCCAUUCGGGUCCGGAUCCAAUGACGGAGGAGACCCCCGACGACACUGCCACGAGGUUCCGGGUAAGUUCUUCUUCUCCCUUUUUGUUUGAAAUAGAUUUAUAAAAAAAUAAAAAAAUAAAAUAAAUAACAAAAAUGAAAAAUGAACAAAGGGAACCCUAGAAAUUAAAAUCAACCUUUUUUUUUGCUCUUGAUUUCUGAUGUGCCUGUGAAAAUACAAUCUUUUUGUAUUCAAAAAUCCCCCUCUAUUUACAAUCGGUUCUCUCCCCCCUAUUUACAACCGGUUUCCCUAAAAUACAAUCGAUCCCCCCAUUUCAAAAUACAAUCCGUUUCCCCUCAAAUCCCUCAUCCAAAAUACAAUCUGUUUUCCCCUCCUUUGAAAUAUCAAAAAUCCUCCUCGUUCCAAUGAUAGAUUUCGGCUUUUAAAGCCAAUAUAUUUGUUUUGUUCCUUUUGUUUAUUACUUCCCCCAUCAUUCGCAUGUUUUCUUUGCUGUUGUGUUUGUUCUUGUUGCAGGUGGUGGGCACGGUGGAGCAGGUGGGAGUGUCAGACGCGUGGGGCGUGGUGGACGAGGGGGCCACGCAUGGAAGCUUGCGACGGCUAGCUUGGGGAAGCAAACUAGGGUUUGCUGAAAAUGGGGUUAAUCUUGGGCUAGGGUUAUGUUUGUUUUGGGUUUAGGGUUAAUUUUGGGUAGUUUGGGCCAUAUGAAAUUUGGGCUGCAAUGUAUUUGGUUUAUGUUUUAUUUUUAUUUUGUUUUUGUUUUGCACUGGGUCCGGGCAAAAUGGGCUCGUACAGAGACCACAAAUUUUCGUCGUGUCAACUUGUAAAUAUUAUUUUUAGAAUAUUUAUGGAUUCGUUAGAGUCGUAUUAAAAUUUGGUUUUAACAUUUAGAUAGUUAAUUAAAGAAAAGGGACCAAAUUGUAAAAGGUGAAAAUUUUAAUAAUUAUUACAUUUAGAUGGUUUAAUAGCUUAAAUAUCAUAGGAGGGAGGACCUAUGUAGCAAUUAAACCCUAGUUAAUAAUGUUGGACAUCAAUGGAUGUAAAAAUAGUAGAAUAAGACAUGUUUUAAUGGCAAAAUGAUAAUUAACCUAAAAAUUAAAACAAAU
rnacentral:lncRNA from 1 species